UACGAAGGGGGCUAGCGUUGUUCGGAAUUACUGGGCGUAAAGCGCACGUAGGCGGAUCGAUCAGUCAGGGGUGAAAUCCCAGGGCUCAACCCUGGAACUGCCUUUGAUACUGUCGAUCUGGAGUAUGGAAGAGGUGAGUGGAAUUCCGAGUGUAGAGGUGAAAAUUCGUAGAUAUUCGGAGGAACACCAGUGGCGAAGGCGGCUCACUGGUCCAUUACUGACGCUGAGGUGCGAAAGCGUGGGGAGCAAACAGGG
rnacentral:rRNA from 1 species